rnacentral:rRNA from 1 species
GACAGAGGUGCCGAGCGUUAGGCGGAAUCACUGGGCUUAAAGCGUGUGUAGGCGGAUCCGUAAGUACCUUGUGAAAUCCCACGGCUCAACCGUGGAACUGCUUGGUAUACUGCGGGUCUUGAGCCACCUAGGGGCGAGCGGAACAAGUGGUGGAGCGGUGAAAUGCGUAGAUAUCACUUGGAACGCCAAUGGUGAAAACAGCUCGCUGGGGGUGUGCUGACGCUGAGACACGAAAGCGAGGGGAGCAAACGGG